CUCAUGACGAACGCUGGCGGCGUGCUUAACACAUGCAAGUCGAACGGAAAGGCCCUGCUUUUGUGGGGUGCUCGAGUGGCGAACGGGUGAGUAACACGUGAGUAACCUGCCCUUGACUUUGGGAUAACUUCAGGAAACUGGGGCUAAUACCGGAUAGGAGCUCCUGCUGCAUGGUGGGGGUUGGAAAGUUUCGGCGGUUGGGGAUGGACUCGCGGCUUAUCAGCUUGUUGGUGGGGUAGUGGCUUACCAAGGCUUUGACGGGUAGCCGGCCUGAGAGGGUGACCGGCCACAUUGGGACUGAGAUACGGCCCAGACUCCUACGGGAGGCAGCAGUGGGGAAUAUUGCACAAUGGGCGGAAGCCUGAUGCAGCAACGCCGCGUGCGGGAUGACGGCCUUCGGGUUGUAAACCGCUUUCGCCUGUGACGAAGCGUGAGUGACGGUAAUGGGUAAAGAAGCACCGGCUAACUACGUGCCAGCAGCCGCGGUGAUACGUAGGGUGCGAGCGUUGUCCGGAUUUAUUGGGCGUAAAGGGCUCGUAGGUGGUUGAUCGCGUCGGAAGUGUAAUCUUGGGGCUUAACCCUGAGCGUGCUUUCGAUACGGGUUGACUUGAGGAAGGUAGGGGAGAAUGGAAUUCCUGGUGGAGCGGUGGAAUGCGCAGAUAUCAGGAGGAACACCAGUGGCGAAGGCGGUUCUCUGGGCCUUUCCUGACGCUGAGGAGCGAAAGCGUGGGGAGCGAACAGGCUUAGAUACCCUGGUAGUCCACGCUGUAAACGGUGGGUACUAGGUGUGGGGUCCAUUCCACGGGUUCCGUGCCGUAGCUAACGCUUUAAGUACCCCGCCUGGGGAGUACGGCCGCAAGGCUAAAACUCAAAGGAAUUGACGGGGCCCCGCACAAGCGGCGGAGCAUGCGGAUUAAUUCGAUGCAACGCGUAGAACCUUACCUGGGUUUGACAUGGAUCGGGAGUGCUCAGAGAUGGGUGUGCCUCUUUUGGGGUCGGUUCACAGGUGGUGCAUGGCUGUCGUCAGCUCGUGUCGUGAGAUGUUGGGUUAAGUCCCGCAACGAGCGCAACCCUUGUUCACUGUUGCCAGCACGUUAUGGUGGGGACUCAGUGGAGACCGCCGGGGUCAACUCGGAGGAAGGUGGGGAUGACGUCAAGUCAUCAUGCCCCUUAUGUCCAGGGCUUCACGCAUGCUACAAUGGCUGGUACAGAGAGUGGCGAGCCUGUGAGGGUGAGCGAAUCUCGGAAAGCCGGUCUCAGUUCGGAUUGGGGUCUGCAACUCGACCCCAUGAAGUCGGAGUCGCUAGUAAUCGCAGAUCAGCAACGCUGCGGUGAAUACGUUCCCGGGGCUUGUACACACCGCCCGUCAAGUCAUGAAAGUUGGUAACACCCGAAGCCGGUGGCCUAACCGUUGUGGGGGAGCCGUCGAAGGU
rnacentral:rRNA from 1 species